AUUAAAGUGGCCCUGACACAAAAAUUGAUUUUUUGUGUAUUGAAAGUACACAUUAUGUGGAGUGUUUUGGUGAAAGAAUUUUUUUAUUUCAUUGAAACGAAAAAAUUUUAGAGCCGUUUGAACACGCAAAAUGUGGGCUUUUGUUGGCACGCGUCCGUGUUCGAAGGAAACUGGAACGAGCGAUUUUUGUUACGUCACGCAAGUGAGUCGGGGUAUUCUAUAAUUUAUUCGACUGGUACCGUUGGCGCAUAUAGUCCAUAUACAAAUAUACUAGAUUUGUGAUAAAAAAAUAUAUGCUUUUUUACUAUGUUGCAGCUAACUGUACCAAUAAACCAUGUUUAAAAGAUGGAAUAAGUUUACACAAUAUUCCAUACUUCAAUAACGAACGCGCGGAAGCUAAAAGACGAAGAAAAGUAUGGGUUUAAUUGUUUGUGCCGUCAAAGCACAGGUCAAAGAUAGACUUCGACUAUAUGCUCGGAUCAUUUUUGACCAGAGGAUUACGAGAGGCGAUUCUUUUCGUGUCUUUCGUUGACGGGGCUCGGCAAGCCUAACUAUCCGAAGCUAUUAAAGACUGACGAUAAUUUGCUUUGUUUUGAUGAUUCAAUUUCGGUUUUACGGGCCCGCUAAUAAUAUAAAUAUUUUGUAAUACCGAAAUGAAAGAUGCAAAUCUGAAGACACAAGCUUGAAAAUAACACUCUAAAUAGUGUUUUCGAUUCCGGUUCGAAUAAGACUAUUACGAAAAAGAUAUUUCCAAAGGGGCCGAAUUUAUGUUCGGCGAAAGAUAUGACUAGUUUACAUUGUUCGAGACUAUAAAUUGAGUAAUAUAAUGAAUUAUGACACCGCUUGACCUAUCAAAGUCAAAGACAAAGGUCAUAAAUAGCUAUACCAUCUGACUAAAACUAUA